rnacentral:rRNA from 1 species
AGCGAACGCUGGCGGCAGGCUUAACACAUGCAAGUCGAGCGCCCCGCAAGGGGAGCGGCAGACGGGUGAGUAACGCGUGGGAACAUGCCCUUUGGUUCGGAAUAACUCAGGGAAACUUGAGCUAAUACCGGAUAAGCCCUUUUGGGGAAAGAUUUAUCGCCGAAGGAUUGGCCCGCGUCCGAUUAGCUAGUUGGUGUGGUAACGGCGCACCAAGGCGACGAUCGGUAGCUGGUCUGAGAGGAUGAUCAGCCACACUGGGACUGAGACACGGCCCAGACUCCUACGGGAGGCAGCAGUGGGGAAUAUUGGACAAUGGGCGCAAGCCUGAUCCAGCCAUGCCGCGUGAGUGAUGAAGGCCCUAGGGUUGUAAAGCUCUUUCGACGGGGACGAUAAUGACGGUACCCGUAGAAGAAGCCCCGGCUAACUUCGUGCCAGCAGCCGCCGUAAAAC